GUCUUCUGUCUGGAAAAUAUUUCACGAGCCAGAUAAAAUUCCGCGACGCGGAGAGGAUACGGUUAUGCCUUGAAAUUCAUUUCUUCCUUUUUCUUCCUUGCUUCCUUUCGACUCAGAUCUGUUGUGUUCUCCAAUGUCCAUUCCAAUGCUCGUUUCUCUAUUUAAGCUCACCUACACAACUAAUCAUGCUGGUUAGUACAUAUAAAAUCAAACGACUCUAAAUGACUAUAAACAAACACGAAUUGAUUUCAAACUUGGCUUAAAUAUGGGUAUUUUUAGGUCCUUAGGCAUAUAAAUACGCCUAAGAUCAUGUGUACUGGGUACUGCUAAUUUUUUUGGGAAAGUUUUUCAUUAUUCAGCAGACCAAAAGGAAAUCACCUUCUUAUUACUCAUAUCACAAAUGGAUGUCCAAUAGUACUGGCUUUCAUUACUGCCUUAUACAGGGGUGUUAUUCACCAAUCACUUACACCAUUCUAUUCACAAAUUUUUCAAAAUACUUUGAGGAGAAGCCCCAAAUAACAGAGAAACCAUUGGAAGACUGAAGAAGAAAGGAAAGGAUAAGAAACUUACUAGAAGAAAGUAGAGAAUAGAGAUCGUUGGAGCAGGGAAUUGAUUCCGAGUUCUGAGAAUGGGUUCUGCCGUUCUGCAAUUGUAUGGG
rnacentral:lncRNA from 1 species